UGAUAUGGUUCAUAAUUUGAAGGCCAUAGUAGCUCAUAUAUGUGCCAAAGGGCUAUGUUGUUCGGACUCUUCAAAAAUGUCAAGGGUGCCUGGGAUUCACCAAAAGUAGAGUAUUUUGAAGAAUCCAACACAGGUAUCUCCAUACAAGGAAUUUAAGCACAACUGAGCUUGAGGAAAAUCAAUAAUUUACCUUUAAGUUCUUAUUCAUAUUAGCUGUGACCGGGGAAGUUCUGCGGAAAUCCAGAAUAAUUUUAUUUCGCUGAUUUGGUUGAAGCUUUCUUAAGAAUACAUAGCUGCUCAGGCUGGGUGCUUCUUGUUAUAGUCUGCUUCUAUGAUCCUUUUCUGUUUCGGAGCAUAAGUUUCUAAUUGAUGGUCAAAUCGAAGAAAUUAAUGUGCCUGGAUGCAGUAUUGAGAUUCUGUACUUAAAAAGAGAUAUAGAGGAUACAACACCAAGAAGAAGGAAUCUUUCAAGAAGCAGUAAGGAGCUUUUGAAUAUUUCAUCUUCAAAAAAUUGUUUAUGGUUGAAGUUCAUAAUCGACUCAGGUAACUUGCAAACUGAACAAUACUUAGGAGUAAGGACAGAUUUCUAUUCUGGAAAGUUUUCAUCGAUGGCACAAGAUUAUAUCACAUCAUUGUCAUUCUUGCGUUAUAUUGUGGUCACUUUAUAUAAACUACGUUUCUCUGAAUUUGUACCAAUGAUGUAUAUAUAAAUGAUUUCUUAUGUGUGUCAAAUAAUUCAUAAUAA